rnacentral:tRNA from 1 species
GCCGGGGUUCCCUAGCCUGGUAAGGGGUGGGCCUGGAGAGCCCAUGGGCCGCAAGGCCCUCGUGGGUUCAAAUCCCACCCCCGGCGCCA